rnacentral:rRNA from 1 species
UCUGACGUUAGCGGCGGACGGGUGAGUAACACGUGGAUAACCUACCUAUAAGACUGGGAUAACUUCGGGAAACCGGAGCUAAUACCGGAUAAUAUAUUGAACCGCAUGGUUCAAUAGUGAAAGACGGUUUUGCUGUCACUUAUAGAUGGAUCCGCGCCGCAUUAGCUAGUUGGUAAGGUAACGGCUUACCAAGGCAACGAUGCGUAGCCGACCUGAGAGGGUGAUCGGCCACACUGGAACUGAGACACGGUCCAGACUCCUACGGGAGGCAGCAGUAGGGAAUCUUCCGCAAUGGGCGAAAGCCUGACGGAGCAACGCCGCGUGAGUGAUGAAGGUCUUCGGAUCGUAAAACUCUGUUAUUAGGGAAGAACAAAUGUGUAAGUAACUAUGCACGUCUUGACGGUACCUAAUCAGAAAGCCACGGCUAACUACGUGCCAGCAGCCGCGGUAAUACGUAGGUGGCAAGCGUUAUCCGGAAUUAUUGGGCGUAAAGCGCGCGUAGGCGGUUUUUUAAGUCUGAUGUGAAAGCCCACGGCUCAACCGUGGAGGGUCAUUGGAAACUGGAAAACUUGAGUGCAGAAGAGGAAAGUGGAAUUCCAUGUGUAGCGGUGAAAUGCGCAGAGAUAUGGAGGAACACCAGUGGCGAAGGCGACUUUCUGGUCUGUAACUGACGCUGAUGUGCGAAAGCGUGGGGAUCAAACAGGAUUAGAUACCCUGGUAGUCCACGCCGUAAACGAUGAGUGCUAAGU